GAUCGAGUUCAAGUACCCUUUUCAAGUCACUUUUUGCCUCGUCCAGAUUCCACGUUUUAAUCUUGGCAUAAGCUUAAUAUCAUACCUACCUGGAUCAAUUUCCAAUACGGAAUUGCAAUGUUCGAUAGCUGCGUAAUAAUCAUUCAAACAUAAUUUGCACUGAGCUGCGUUUAGUAAAAAAGGAAUUUUCUUUUGAUUCAAGUCAUUCCAUUCUACAUCACGAGGUUUUUCCCUGUAGGUAAUGGCCAUUUGAUGAGUCAAUGUAUUUUAGUUUUGAAAAUUGAUGAAAACCCAUUCACAUUAUAGAUAAGGUAACUUACCUUAAUUGCAGUUGAUCGAUGUAUGUUAGGCCUAAUUGGUAUUUUUCCAGAGCUUUUUCAUAUUCAGAACUUUCGUAAAAUGUAUUGCCAUCAAUUUUCAGCUUUGGUAUCAAUUCUAAUUUAUUAUCAUCUGUAAUUUGCCAGUUUUCUUUUUCAUAUUCACCGGGUUGUUCGACAUUGAGUAUUUCUGUAUAAAUGCAAACCAGAAAUAAAACUCAUGAAAGUGUUA